rnacentral:rRNA from 1 species
GACGAACGCUGGCGGCGUGCCUAAUACAUGCAAGUAGAACGCACAGUUUAUACCGUAGCUUGCUACACCAUAGACUGUGAGUUGCGAACGGGUGAGUAACGCGUAGGUAACCUGCCUGGUAGCGGGGGAUAACUAUUGGAAACGAUAGCUAAUACCGCAUAAUAUCAAUUAUUGCAUGAUAAUUAAUUGAAAGGUGCAAUUGCACCACUACCAGAUGGACCUGCGUUGUAUUAGCUAGUAGGUGAGGUAACGGCUCACCUAGGCGACGAUACAUAGCCGACCUGAGAGGGUGAUCGGCCACACUGGGACUGAGACACGGCCCAGACUCCUACGGGAGGCAGCAGUAGGGAAUCUUCGGCAAUGGACGAAAGUCUGACCGAGCAACGCCGCGUGAGUGAAGAAGGUUUUCGGAUCGUAAAGCUCUGUUGUAAGAGAAGAACGGGUGUGAGAGUGGAAAGUUCACCGUGACGGUAUCUUACCAGAAAGGGACGGCUAACUACGUG